UACAGAGGUCUCAAGCGUUGUUCGGAUUUAUUGGGCGUAAAGGGUGCGUAGGUGGCAAGGCAAGUCUGGCGUGAAAUCUCCGAGCCUAACUCGGAAAUGGCGUCGGAAACUGCCUAGCUAGAGGACUGGAGGGGAGACUGGAAUACUUGGUGUAGCAGUGAAAUGCGUAGAUAUCAAGUGGAACACCAGUGGCGAAAGCGAGUCUCUGGACAGUUCCUGACACUGAGGCACGAAAGCUAGGGGAGCAAACGGG
rnacentral:rRNA from 1 species